rnacentral:rRNA from 1 species
UUUAUUUGAGAGUUUGAUCCUGGCUCAGGACGAACGCUGGCGGCGUGCCUAAUACAUGCAAGUUGAGCGAUGAAGAUUGGUGCUUGCACCAAUUUGAAGAGCAGCGAACGGGUGAGUAACGCGUGGGGAAUCUGCCUUUGAGCGGGGGACAACAUUUGGAAACGAAUGCUAAUACCGCAUAACAACUUUAAACAUAAGUUUUAAGUUUGAAAGAUGCAAUUGCAUCACUCAAAGAUG